GACGAACGCUGGCGGCGUGCUUAACACAUGCAAGUCGAACGGAAAGGCCCUGCUUUUGUGGGGUGCUCGAGUGGCGAACGGGUGAGUAACACGUGAGUAACCUGCCCUUGACUUUGGGAUAACUUCAGGAAACUGGGGCUAAUACCGGAUAGGAGCUCCUGCUGCAUGGUGGGGGUUGGAAAGUUUCGGCGGUUGGGGAUGGACUCGCGGCUUAUCAGCUUGUUGGUGGGGUAGUGGCUUACCAAGGCUUUGACGGGUAGCCGGCCUGAGAGGGUGACCGGCCACAUUGGGACUGAGAUGCGGCCCAGACUCCUACGGGAGGCAGCAGUGGGGAAUAUUGCACAAUGGGCGGAAGCCUGAUGCAGCAACGCCGCGUGCGGGAUGACGGCCCUCGGGUUGUAAACCGCUUUCGCCUGUGACGAAGCGUGAGUGACGGUAAUGGGUAAAGAAGCACCGGCUAACUACGUG
rnacentral:rRNA from 1 species